GACGAACGCUGGCGGCGUGCCUAAUACAUGCAAGUCGAGCGGAUCUUGUCCUUCGGGACAAGGUUAGCGGCGGACGGGUGAGUAACACGUAGGUAACCUGCCCGUAAGACUGGGAUAACA
rnacentral:rRNA from 1 species